GAUGAACGCUGGCGGCAGGCCUAACACAUGCAAGUCGAGCGAGCGGCGGACGGGUGAGUAAUGUCUGGGAAACUGCCCGAUGGAGGGGGAUAACUACUGGAAACGGUAGCUAAUACCGCAUACCAUCGGAUGUGCCCAGAUGGGAUUAGCUUGUAGGUGAGGUAACGGCUAACCUAGGCGACGAUCCCUAGCGGGUCUGAUAGGAUGACCGGCAACACGGGAACUGAGACACGGUCCAGACUCCUACGGGAGGCAGCAGUGGGGAAUAUUGCACAAUGGGCGCAAGCCUGAUGCAGCAAUGCCGCGUGUAUGAAGAAGGCCUUCGGGUUGUAAAGUACUUUCAGCGGGGAGGCGUUACCCGCAGAAGAAGCACCGGCUAACUCCGUGCCAGCAGCCGCGGUAAUUC
rnacentral:rRNA from 1 species